UGAAUUUUGAGAAGAUCCUUGAGAACAUUGGCGCAAACGCCGAGCUUGAGAGUGUCUUUAGGGCAGCUUCCGGUGGACUUGGGCUUAGGUUUGGGUUUAGGGGUGGAACUGCAGCCACCGCCACAUGCGGUGGUUAAAGUGAAAAAAAGAAUGUUGAAUGUGAGGAAAAUGACAAGAGAGGCUGAAAUUUUUGAAGCCAUUUCUCAAAAAAUCAAAUUUCUAUUUUAGGUAAGAAGUUUUAAGAUAGAAGUAUUGCCAAAAGAGAGUGGUGAAGAUAAAUGAAGAGAGGGUGUACGUAUAUAUAUUAGGGCUUCAAGGGGUUGGACAGUUAAUUAAAGCUGUCAUUACUGUAUAAUUUUGAAGAAUUAUUAGACAAAUUUAUAUUUUAGUAAGUGGAUCUUUGUAUUAUUAAGUGGUUAAGAUAUACUUUAUUUUUUUUUAUUGCAUUAUGAAACAAAUGUUAAAUCAUGGAUAGAUGACCCUGUUGGGCAGUCAUCGUUUUUUUCUUUUUCAAAACUUUUAUUAGUUUAGUAGUUAGAAAGUUUUUCGUUAGUCAUCUAUACAAAAAGAAGAAACAAUACAUGUUUUUUUUUCCUGGCUAAAUAUAAUAGAUGGUUUUUAACUUUAACCAAUCCAUCUUUUAUUUAUGGGCCAUAUAUAUAUAUAUAUGAAAACUGAAAAUAACGUUUUGAUGUGAAAUAUACCAAAUAUACUUAUUUAGUGCAGAGUUAACAUGAGAUAAUAUGUAUUUCUCUUUAGUUAAUAAAUGAUACUAGUUAUUUAGUACGGAGUUAACAUGAGCUAAUAUGUAUUUCUCUUUAUUUAAUCAAUGAUACUAGUUUUAUUGUAAAGUAGAUGCAUUUACAAAUAAAAGUAUUGCUCAAAUAUUUCAAUAAUGACUUUUAAUACAGUAUAUGCAUUUUCAACUGUGAACACUUUGAAAAAUAAUGGAUUUUACAUUCCGUUCGACUUUAUGUUUUCUUAAGUUGAUUCAUAUUAUAUUGGUUUUGACGUUCGACUUUAUGUUUUCUUAAGUUGAUUCAUAUUAUUUUGGGUUUGAUCUAUUUUAAAUCCAAAAAAUUACAUUUUCUUAUUUGAUUUCUUAAAAUAUUUAACUUGUUCGAGCGUCUAUUAAUUUUUUAUGUGAGUUGAUUUAAUAUUAAUUUAGAAUAAUUUGUUCUAAAACAGUCGACAAUGCUUUUCGUAGGUAAAAUUUGUAUAACAGCUGAAUUAUUUAGAAUAUUCGCUUAAAUUCAUAAUCAUCGGCUGUAUUUUCUUAUUUCAAUCUAUCUUUUGUUUUUUUUUUAUUUUAUGAACCUUAAUUAUUAAUUUUCCGUUAAAUUAAUUGUAAUGUAAUUUGUAGACUCAUAUUUAAAUUAGUCCAUGUAAUAUAUACAUUAUUUUGGUCAAAAACAAAAACACGUAGGUACACGAUUAGGUCGACGUGUUAGUUUAUUCGACUGAAAACAACUAUAUACUUAUCUUAUUCGAAAAAUUAUAGAACAAAAUAAACUAUAAUCGACGCACAUGUAUUCAAUAAUUACUCAUACUUCCCAUGUGUUGUGUAGCCCAGAAUGUAAAUAAUAGGCAUGUGUUUGGAGAUUAGUAAUUUGGAAGUUUAUUGGCUUUAAUUACCCUUCACAUUUUAUUUUUGGGAAAUUAAAAACAACUAUAAUUCAUCAAAUAACAACAAUAUUAUUCUUUUUUUUUUGUCAUCAACAAUAUUAUGCUUAUCUUAUGACAAAUAUAGCUUUGGGUUCUUGGACACUAACUUCAGGUUUCAAUCAACAUGGAGUAAACCAUUAAUCAUAUUCUAAUUAACUGUUCGCAUUUUAUUAACCCUUGGUAGUUUCUCGACGCGCUAAGUUUACAAAAUAUGGAUUUCUUCUAUUGGCGAACUCCGUCUCCGCUAAAAAAUAAAAAAGGAUACUACAGUUUUCAACGAAUUACAUAGUUUCUAUGGAAAAGUUUUUAAAAAUAAAAUAAAUAAACAAAUUUUACCAAAGAAUUAUACUGGAACCCUCAGAUUUUUUAAAUCAUGUUAUUAGCGAUCAUUUAGUUUGGGUGGCAGCUCAAAUCAGCCCAACUAAGGAUGUCAAGGAAUUAUUGUUCUUUAAGAUGUCAAGGUGAUGGUUCGUGGAAAUUAUAAUGCCUCGGCCGUAAUCGUCUGCGGCCCCACGUUUUAUUUUGGCAAGUAGAUUCGACCCCGUCCGAGACUAUUUUGGGAGGCUCGAAAGAAUUGUUUAUUGUCCUUACUUAUCGCCACUAAAUAUUUGUUGUGUUUUUUCUUCAUUAACACGGUACCCAAAAUUAAUUUCAGGCAGGUCGAACCAUCAUGAAAUAUAUAUAGUUCAAACACGUUUCACUCUACCAAAUCAAUUUUAAGUCUCUUUGUAUGCAUCACCAAAUUGUUUUUUAGAAAAGAGUUGUGUUAAAACCUCCUCACUAGCUCACAGAUCACAUUAUUGUGUAUCAAGACGGUUACUCCAACAGUGAAUUAGUGUACGUGUCUCCACACUCGUCCGGUUCGGCUCUAAUACUAGUUGUUACGCUUUCCAUGCCCUCUCUCACCAUGUGGAUUCCAUUCUUGUCCAACAGAUGGUAUGUAUAUUUGGGAGACAUUGAAAGACAUGUUUAAUGUUCCUCCUUACUCAUAUGGUAUUUAUUAUUUAACAUUGUUUUCAUUUGGUCACAUAUCCUAAAUAUCGCAAUAGUUCCAUUACGCUUAACUAUAAAAUUUUAUCGAAACGAUUAACGGAAAAUAUGCGUAUAUUUUUGUGACAUAGAUAAUCAAUCAAUUAUUUUAAACUUCUUUGAAUGUAUCUUAAUAUUUUUAAAUUCGAGGGAUUACAUUAAUCUUCUUACCCCAAAUCUGGUUUUGGAUGGAUGGAGAACUAUAAAACUUUGAACAGUUUGAGAAAUCAUAGUUUGCAUUUCAAAUAAAUGGACUGAUUAAGUUAUAUACUUGUCCCUUGUCAUUUUCGUUUUGAGAUUUGAUAUAAGUAUUUAAGGAACAUGUUUGAAUUAUUUAUUUUUUGUCAAUUAAUUUUGAAUUGAAAUUCUGGGUACAGUAUAGAGUCUAAUUGAAAAUUCAUGAUUCUUGAUACGGUAUUAGAGUCUUAACAAGCCAAAUAGAUAAAAUUGGUUCGAACAGAUGAUUAAGUUCGGUAUUAGAUGAAUGAGCCAAAGAACCAUCUUCUCGAAAUGAUAUGUUAAAAAUCCACUAGUAGAUAAAGAUUAAUAUUAGUAAUUUCAACUAUUACCGAUUUGUUUUUAUUUAGAUCUUCAGGUAUUUCUCAUUGUCUAUUUUUAUGUAUCAAAUACAAUUCUUAUAUUUUUUCCAUCAUUUGAGUAUUGUUAAUUAUUAUAAAAUAAUUCCAGGGCUACACUUUUCUAGUAUGUAUAUUUCAAUCGAUAGAUCAGGUAGACAAAGAUUCUUGCUCUUUCAACCGUUAAAAUAAUAUAAGUAAAAUUAAUGUUAGAAGAAAAGUCGAAAGAAGAAGCAGAUUAUAAUCACUUUAACAAUCUUAUUUCUGAGCAAUUUAAUUUAAAAUGUAAACAGUACAAGAAGUAGAAACAACACUGAAAAUGGGAAAAUUCAAAGAAUAUUAAUCAAAGAAAAACAUGGAAAGAAAAUUUAAAACAUUAUAACCAAUCGAAGAGUGGAUAGAUAUAUCAAGCACAUACGAAGCCGGAAGGAACCUUCUUGCCACAAACAUUGAGAAGAAGGCUGAGAGAGACGGGAACAUUAAGAUUAAUGCCUAAAACUUUAGCCUUUAGGGCGGUGCAGAGACAAGCGGCAGCCUCAAGAUCAACUAAACCAUUGAGGAGCGAACAACAAGGCUUCACUGGUGGUGUUCCCAACUGAAUUUUGAGAAGAUCCUUGAGAACAUUGGCGCAAACGCCGAGCUUGAGAGUGUCUUUAGGGCAGCUUCCGGUGGACUUGGGCUUAGGUUUGGGUUUAGGGGUGGAACUGCAGCCACCGCCACAUGCGGUGGUUAAAGUGAAAAAAAGAAUGUUGAAUGUGAGGAAAAUGACAAGAGAGGCUGAAAUUUUUGAAGCCAUUUCUCAAAAAAUCAAAUUUCUAUUUUAG
rnacentral:lncRNA from 1 species